rnacentral:lncRNA from 1 species
UCAUAUAGAAUAGCUUCUUGGUAAGUUUCUGGCUCUCCCCCAUCAGUAAGCAUAACAUACUCAUGUGGAGGAUAUCUGGUAGAUGGUUGUCGCUCUCUAGUGGAUCUUCUCAAUGGAAUCUCAACUGGUGGUGGAGGUACUUGUUCAGUUGGUUCAGCAUCAUCAACUGUAGGUGUAUCAUCACUGGUAUUCUCACCACAAUCUUCUUGUUCAUCU